rnacentral:rRNA from 1 species
GAGUUUGAUCGUGGCUCAGAUUGAACGCUAGCGGGAUGCCUUACACAUGCAAGUCGAACGGCAGCACGGACUUCGGUCUGGUGGCGAGUGGCGAACGGGUGAGUAAUGUAUCGGAACGUGCCUAGUAGCGGGGGGAUAACUACGCGAAAGCGUAGCUAAUACCGCAUACGCCCUACGGGGAAAGGCAGGGAGUCGCAAGACCUUGCACUAUUAGAGCGGCCGAUAUCGGAUUAGCUAGUUGGUGGGGUAACGGGCUCACCAAGGCGACGAUCCGUAGCUGGUUUGUAGAGGACGACCAGCCACACUGGAACUGAGACACGGCCCAGACUCCUACGGGAGGCAGCAGUGGGGAAGUUUUGGUACGAAUGGGGGAAACCCGUACGAUCCAGCCAUCCCGCCGUGUGCGAUGAA